UAUUAGAUUUUUUAUGUUAAUAUUAGUUUGUAUAUUUUCACUAGUUUAUUUUGUUUUAAAAGUGAAAGUUACCAUUUAAUUUAGUGUGACUUGUUAGUAGUUUCUAAAAUUUUAUUGGUUUCAUUGAAAUUGAAAACAUAAGCAUUAAUUAAUAUAAUUCUAGCUAUAGGUAGGCAUGGUGUUUUAAAAACAAUUUUUCCUUUUUAUGUAAACAUUUGUAAUGUAUCUUUUGAAUUUUUUUAAUAUUAUCACAUGUUUUAUGUUGUCAGUAUACAUUGGCAUUUUUGUGUGUGUAUAGUGUUUUUUAAUCAUGCAAUAAUACAGUAUUAUUAAAAAUAUUUUUAAUAAUAUAAGUAUAAUAUUGUUUAUAAGUUAAUGUUAUAUUAAUAAUCGGUAGUUAUGCAAGACUUUCUUUACAUUUUUUUUAGAAUGCAAUGGGCACAAAAAGAAACCUAAUUUUUUGUUCAUAGUGCAGUUAAAGAGUAUUUAGAUACAGACUUCUUAUUACCUGCCAAAACAUGCAGUUGUUGUAAACAUAAACAUGUACCUUUUUUUAUUCAUUAACAGAGGAUGUGGGUAACCAAUACCACCCUAUUCAACAAACUUCUCAACUUAACCAAAGUUUACGAAUAGCAGUGAAAAGACUUUUUUUUUCAAAAGUAGGCUUGGUUGUGGUCUUCAACUUUAGCUCCUAUAUUAUACCUGGUGCCAAAAUCCUAAUUCAGAAGAUACAACUUUGCUUGCAUUUAAGGCGCUCCCUUUUCUUCUGAUAGCACAUCCACAGAAAGGCAAGAAGAGUCCAAGAAUGGACCUUGAUGCAAUUUUGGCUUUAUUAUGUAGAGAAAUGGAUGUACACCUCAGUCUUGAAAGCUCUCUUGAGUUAUUGAAGAAGGAGAAAGUUUUUCAACCGAUUUUAUUCAAGUGUUGCGGCGCUCUAUUUAUUCUAAUUAUAACUCUGAUUAUAAGUCGAUAAUACAGCUAUACGGUUGGAAGCCAUACCAAGUAUUAGAUUUGCUUUUGAGUUACUGCUAGUCUCUUAUUAUGUAUUUAAUGUCAAUUUUCCUCAUGAACUUAUUUGUGUAAAUGGAUUUAUGGGAAGUUUGUUUGGAAUAAACAUCAAAAGAAUUAUCGUCAAUUACUUUUAAAGAACGUUAUGCCAAAAAUUUAAGAUUAAAUUAAGCAAUAUGUUUGUAAAACAAAAAAGUAUUUUUAACACUUUCUUGUUUAUUUUUGUAAUAUCGUCAUCCGAGAACCAAGAGGCCGUAUGUCUAUUUUUUGUGUUUCCAAGAAAAUCAAGUUUUAAAUUUCGAUUCGCGAAGACUUUCUGCCAGAAAGUUCGACUGACUAAUUAAAUAUUCCUAAAAUUUUAUUGGUGUGGUAUAUUUAUGGAAAACACACUUCUGAAUAUUUAUUGAAAUGGAAUAAAAAAACACAAAAUGUUGACUUACGGUUCUUCUCUGACGGCGAUAUCUACUUUUCAAAGUUUUAACUUCGCUUUUGCAUAUAAUUGUUUUAAGACUUAUUUUUACUUUAAUAUUAACUGAAUUGAGUUUGUGUUUGAACUGAGUUUAUAUACUUAAAAGGAAUACUAUAAAAAUACAUUGACUCGGAAUUAAAAUAAAAUUUAUAUUUCAGUUUUUAUUAUUUUAUUGUGAUAUCAUUUCGUUACUUCUUGUAAGCCAAUAUAAUAUAUAUGUGUAAUUUAGUAUAUGACUCUAAAUG